UUUACUCUUUAGCGUGAAUGGUAGUAGAUAUAUUUCUGAAUUAUUGUUUAUUCCGCGUCGUGUAUAUUUUUCAAUAUGCCGAAGACAAUGGACCUUUUCGAGUAUAGGGCAGGGCCGACAUCCGGGCAACUGAGCUACAUACGGGUUCUUCGAGCCAUAGCAACCUGACUGGCGUUGAAAACAAACCGUCGCCAUUACUCUUUAACCUGUCGACCUGCGCUGAUUAAACUCGCCAUUCUGCCUCCAAAAUGCCAAAAAACUGUGUUGUUUUUGGUUGUGCAAACCACAACUGGAAACAGGGGAAAAAAAGGUCGUAUUUUGUUCUACCAAAGCGUGUUAAAAGCCCACAGAGACGAGACAAAUGGCUCGCAGCUUUACACCGGGAAAACGAGGACGGUUCUCACUGGAGCCCCCCAAAAUCCCGGGUCGUGUGUUCGGAUCACUUCGUUUCUGGACGACCUGUAAAGAAUCCCAUGCACCCUGAUUAUGCACCAUCCAUCUUACCUCACCUGCCACAGAGUGGAAAGAAGGCAUCCCAUAGGAUGGACAGUUACGAGCGACAUCAACUGACAACGUGAAAGCGUGAAAGCGUGAAUCGGCAGCAGAGAACUCAAAAAGAACAAAGAAACACUGUGGGAAAUGACUACCUUUCAGUGAUCUAACGGAAAGGACAAAUGAGUGUGAAAACAUUGAGCCUGCUGCAAAAACGCCUGUAAUUUUAAAUAAAUAAUUCAGUUAAAAAAAGGAACAGUAAUUCAGCAAAUAAUAAAUCAUAAUACUGAACUGAAUUUGAAUGAGCUCUCUACAGAUAUAAUAAAUAUACAGAUACUGGUA